rnacentral:rRNA from 1 species
CACAUCCAAGGAAGGCAGCAGGCGCGCAAAUUACCCACUCUCAGUACGAGGAGGUAGUGACGAAAAAUAACGAGACGGUUCUCUACGAGGUCCGUCAUCGGAAUGGGUACAAUUUAAACCCCUUAACGAGGAUCUAUUGGAGGGCAAGUCUGGUGCCAGCAGCCGCGGUAAUUCCAGCUCCAAUAGCGUAUAUUAAAGUUGUUGCGGUUAAAAAGCUCGUAGUUGGAUCUGCGGCCUGGGAGGCCGGUCCCCCACAGGGUGCGACUGGUUUUCCCGGGCCUACCUCGCCGGUUUUCCCCGGGUACCCUUCAUCGGGCGCCCGGGGUGGCCGGCAAGUUUACUUUGAAAAAAUUAGAGUGCUCAAAGCAGGCGCGUAGCCUGAAUAGUGGUGCAUGGAAUAAUAGAAUAGGACCUCGGUUCUAUUUUGUUGGUUUUCGGAGCGCGAGGUAAUGAUUAAGAGGGACAGACGGGGGCAUUCGUAUUGCUGCGUUAGAGGUGAAAUUCUUGGAUCGCAGCAAGACGGACAACUGCGAAAGCAUUUGCCAAGAAUGUUUUCAUUAAUCAAGAACGAAAGUUAGAGGUUCGAAGGCGAUCAGAUACCGCCCUAGUUCUAACCGUAAACGAUGCCAACUAGCGAUCCGCCGGCGUUAAACAUGACUCGGCGGGCAGCUUUCCGGAAACGAAAGUUUUUCGGUUCCGGGGGAAGUAUGGUUGCAAAUCCGAAA